rnacentral:rRNA from 1 species
AACGAACGCUGGCGGCAGGCCUAACACAUGCAAGUCGAGCGAGAUCUUCGGGUCUAGCGGCGGACGGGUGAGUAACGCGUGGGAAUAUGCCUCUUGGUACGGAAUAGCCUCGGGAAACUGGGAGUAAUACCGUAUGUGCCCUUUAGGGGAAAGAUUUAUCGCCAAGAGAUUAGCCCGCGUUGGAUUAGGUAGUUGGUGGGGUAAUGGCCUACCAAGCCGACGAUCCAUAGCUGGUUUGAGAGGAUGAUCAGCCACACUGGGACUGAGACACGGCCCAGACUCCUACGGGAGGCAGCAGUGGGGAAUCUUAGACAAUGGGGGCAACCCUGAUCUAGCCAUGCCGCGUGAGUGAUGAAGGCCUUAGGGUUGUAAAGCUCUUUCAGCUGGGAAGAUAAUGACGGUACCAGCAGAAGAAGCCCCGGCUAACUCCGUG